CACCUCCCUGUCCUCCAUGUGCCUCAGCAGAGCUUGUGGGAGGGUCUGUUCCAUGAUCUUCCCAGGCACAGAGAGCCUGGGAGAAAGGGAUCCUGUGCUGACAUCCCAUCUGCAGCCCUGACUGUUGUCCAUCAACCAAGAAAAACAUCAGAGCAGAACAUCUGCUGGCUGACUUGUGGUUUCUGAUCCAACUGGUUCCUGGUAAAAUAAACCAGAUUAGUUUAAACUAA